rnacentral:lncRNA from 1 species
AUUUAAUCACUUUGUAAAGUCUUACAAAUGUUUAAAACAAAAGGAAAAUGCAACGACGGAUUUUUCUUUUGCAACUGAAGUAAUGAAACGCAAAAAAAAAGAAAAAUGACGUUAUGUUAUAUCAGCUGACAUACUUGAAUUCGCGCCGAAUGCAACAGUUUUAUCUUCUCAGAAUUUAUACAAUAACAACAAUAACGAAAGAAAUAUCACCGAUUUACUACCUACUAGAUCUAGAGAGUCGGAGGCUAGACAUGGAGGAGCGACUUGUUUCAGCAGUCGACAAGCUGGCUGGCUACAGCUGCUGAAGCUAAUAGCAAGGCCGCGGAUAUGCAAACAGAGUUGCUUCGGCUGCUGCUGGAGGAAGUUAGGUGAAGACCAAUAUAAGGUUAAAGAAUAGCAGCAUGACGAUUCUCAAGAACGAAGACACUAGAGAAACGAAGUUAAAAUACUUAAGUAAAAACAUAUGUAUUCAAUAAACUUGUAUGUAAAUAUUUAAGCUAAAGUAUAAGUACUCCAUUUAUGUUAUUUAAGUGAAGUUGUAUUUAAUUUAAAUACUUAAGUUUGGUCAUGUUAUUUAAGUGAGUUUGUCUAGGGGUAACAUUAAAGUACAUUAAAGACAAAGCAACUAGAUAUCAUUUUUCCAAGAACUAUUUUGAAACAAAAAUAAUAUAGCAUCACGCUUCUAUUCCCGAAGGGGUAGGCAGAGGUGUAUAGUAUAUGUAUACACCCACUCCUAUAUUUAAUUUAAAUACUUAAGUUUGGUCAUGUUAUUUAAGUGAGUUUGUCUAGGGGUAACAUUAAAGACAAAGCAACUAGAUAUCAUUUUACCAAGAACUAUUUUGAAACAAAAAUAAUAUAGCAUCACGCUUCUAUUCCCGAAGGGGUAGGCAGAGGUGUAUAGUAUAUUUAUACACCCACUCCUUGCCAACUACUAUCUAAUAAAAAGAUUUGUAUAGGUGUAUUGAUGAAGAUGUUCGAUGCAAUUAACUUAUAUUUCCAUAUUAUAGUAAGAAUUGGGAACAAUAUUAUAUUUGUAGUAUGUUCUAAUUGAUUACAUUUCUUUGAUCCACCCGCAGGGCUUUUUUGACUAUACUAUUACACAUUACAAAUAGUCUAGUCCCCAUAAGGCCCCGCAAGCUUGUAUUUAUACAAAAUAAAUGGAUUUAUUUAUUACAAGUUAAAGAUGGAUAAACUACUUUAUUAAGCACAAUGGACACAAGAUUAGAAAAAUGUAUCUACUUGAGAGAUAGGUUGGUUAAUGAGAGGGGUGCAAUGAAAGAAAUUAUGUAAUAACACAAAAUAAAUAAA